rnacentral:rRNA from 1 species
CGGGGUGAGUAAUGUAUGGGGAUCUGCCUGAUGGCGGGGGAGUAACUACUGGAAACGGAGGCUAAUACCGCAUAAUGUCUGCGGACCAAAGCGGGGGGACCUCCGGGCCUCGCGCCAUCAGAUGAACCCAUAUGGGAUUAGCUAGUAGGUAAGGUAACGGCUUACCUAGGCGACGAUCCCUAGCUGGUCUGAGAGGAUGAUCAGCCACACUGGGACUGAGACACGGCCCAG